rnacentral:rRNA from 1 species
GACGUAGGGGGCCAGCGUUGUUCGGAAUUACUGGGUGUAAAGGGUUCGUAGGCGGUGUGGCAAGUCGGGAGUGAAAUUUCUGGGCUCAACUCAGAGACUGCUUCCGAAACUGCUGUGCUUGAGUGUGGGAGAGGCGCGUGGAAUUGCAGGUGUAGCGGUGAAAUGCGUAGAUAUCUGCAGGAACACCCGUGGCGAAAGCGGCGCACUGGACCAUAACUGACGCUGAGGCGCGAAAGCUAGGGGAGCAAACGGG